GACGAACGCUGGCGGCGUGCUUAACACAUGCAAGUCGAACGGAAAGGCCCUGCUUUUGUGGGGUGCUCGAGUGGCGAACGGGUGAGUAACACGUGAGUAACCUGCCCUUGACUUUGGGAUAACUUCAGGAAACUGGGGCUAAUACCGGAUAGGAGCUCCUGCUGCAUGGUGGGGGUUGGAAAGUUUCGGCGGUUGGGGAUGGACUCGCGGCUUAUCAGCUUGUUGGUGGGGUAGUGGCUUACCAAGGCUUUGACGGGUAGCCGGCCUGAGAGGGUGACCGGCCACAUUGGGACUGAGAUACGGCCCAGACUCCUACGGGAGGCAGCAGUGGGGAAUAUUGCACAAUGGGCGGAAGCCUGAUGCAGCAACGCCGCGUGCGGGAUGACGGCCUUCGGGUUGUAAACCGCUUUCGCCUGUGACGAAGCGUGAGUGACGGUAAUGGGUAAAGAAGCACCGGCUAACUACGUGCCAGCAGCCGCGGUGAUACGUAGGGUGCGAGCGUUGUCCGGAUUUAUUGGGCGUAAAGGGCUCGUAGGUGGUUGAUCGCGUCGGAAGUGUAAUCUUGGGGCUUAACCCUGAGCGUGCUUUCGAUACGGGUUGACUUGAGGAAGGUAGGGGAGAAUGGGAUUCCUGGUGGAGCGGUGGAAUGCGCAGAUAUCAGGAGGAACACCAGUGGCGAAGGCGGUUCUCUGGGCCUUUCCUGACGCUGAGGAGCGAAAGCGUGGGGAGCGAACAGGCUUAGAUACCCUGGUAGUCCACGCUGUAAACGGUGGGUACUAGGUGUGGGGUCCAUUCCACGGGUUCCGUGCCGUAGCUAACGCUUUAAGUACCCCGCCUGGGGAGUACGGCCGCAAGGCUAAAACUCAAAGGAAUUGACGGGGCCCCGCACAAGCGGCGGAGCAUGCGGAUUAAUUCGAUGCAACGCGUAGAACCUUACCUGGGUUUGACAUGGAUCGGGAGUGCUCAGAGAUGGGUGUGCCUCUUUUGGGGUCGGUUCACAGGUGGUGCAUGGCUGUCGUCAGCUCGUGUCGUGAGAUGUUGGGUUAAGUCCCGCAACGAGCGCAACCCUUGUUCACUGUUGCCAGCACGUUAUGGUGGGGACUCAGUGGAGACCGCCGGGGUCAACUCGGAGGAAGGUGGGGAUGACGUCAAGUCAUCAUGCCCCUUAUGUCCAGGGCUUCACGCAUGCUACAAUGGCUGGUACAGAGAGUGGCGAGCCUGUGAGGGUGAGCGAAUCUCGGAAAGCCGGUCUCAGUUCGGAUUGGGGUCUGCAACUCGACCUCAUGAAGUCGGAGUCGCUAGUAAUCGCAGAUCAGCAACGCUGCGGUGAAUACGUUCCCGGG
rnacentral:rRNA from 1 species